GACGAACGCUGGCGGCGUGCCUAAUACAUGCAAGUAGAACGCUGAAGGAGGAGCUUGCUUCUCUGGAUGAGUUGCGAACGGGUGAGUAACGCGUAGGUAACCUGCCUGUUAGCGGGGGAUAACUAUUGGAAACGAUAGCUAAUACCGCAUAAUAGUAGAUGUUGCAUGACAUUUGCUUAAAAGGUGCAAUUGCAUCACUACCAGAUGGACCUGCGUUGUAUUGGCUAGUUGGUGAGGUAACGGCGCACCAAGGCGACGAUACAUAGUCGACCUGAGAGGGGGAGUGGCCGGACUGAGAGUGGGACACGGCCCAGACUCCUACAGAAGGCAGCAGUAGGGAAUCGUCGGCAAUGGGCGGAAGUCUGACCGAGAAACGCCGAGGGAGGGAAGAAGGUUGUCGGGUCGUAAAGCUCUGUUGUAGGGGAAGAAAGAGUGUGAGAGUGGAAAGAUCACACUGUGACGGUAUCUUACCAGAAAGCAACGGCUAACUACGUG
rnacentral:rRNA from 1 species